AUGCCGCCGUCCCCCGCCGCGUCCGCCCCGGCGAGCCGCCACCUGCGCCUCUGGUGGCGCCGCCGCGGCCGGGCCGGCGCCGUCGCGGCCACCUUCGCCGCCGCGCUGCUCGCCGCGGCCCUUCUCCUCUCGCUCUCCUACUUCGCCUCCCUGCCCCUUGCGCCCUCCUCCUCCUCCGCCCUCGUCGGCCUCACCCUCCUCCGCCGCGCCGAGGAGAAGGGCGCUCUGUGCUUGGACGGGAGCGCGCCGGGGUACCAUCUGCAGAGAGGGUCGGGGAGUGGGUCUCAGAGCUGGCUCAUCCACUUGGAGGGUGGAGGCUGGUGCCGAAAUUUGAAAUCAUGCGCUUCACGUCAGAAAUCGAUGCUGGGUUCUUCCCAUUACAUGGAACGUCAGGUUGAAUUUGCUGGGAUGUUGAGCGAUGAUGAAGAUCAGAAUCCAGAUUUUCACAACUGGAAUAAAGUGAAGAUAAGGUAUUGCGAUGGGGCAUCAUUUUCUGGGAACGUCAAAGACGAGUUUCAGAAUGGCACAAAAUUCUUUUUCCGAGGCCAGCGUAUCUGGGAAGCAGUUAUGGAUGAACUUCUACUGAAGGGGCUCAGACAUGCUAAACAGGCUUUUCUAACAGGGUGCUCUGCUGGUGGGUUAGCCACUUACAUUCACUGUGAUGGUUUUCGGGCACUGCUGCCAAAAGAUUCUAGGGUUAAGUGUCUUGCGGAUGGUGGUUUUUUCCUUGAUGUAGAGGACAUUUCCAAGCAAAGGACCUUGCGGGCUUUCUACAGUGACAUUGUCGGUCUUCAGGAUCUCAAGAGGAAGUUUUUGCACUGCAGCUCAAGCAUGGAACCGGGCCAGUGCUUCUUUCCUCGUGAAAUUGUUAAAGACAUCAGGACACCAGUAUUUGUUCUUAAUCCAGCAUAUGAUGCCUGGCAGGUACAACACGUGUUGGCACCAGAAGCAUCGGAUCCCCAACAUUCAUGGCAAGAUUGUAGGUUGGAUAUUAGCAAGUGCAGUCCUGACCAACUUGAAAUACUCCAAGGUUUUAGGGAAGAGCUCCAUGACGCGAUGAGAGAAAUCAAGCAGAAAAAGGACUGGGGUAUUUUCAUUGACUCCUGCUUUAUACACUGUCAGACGUUGAACUCUGUGACUUGGCACUCUCCAUCUUCUCCUAGAGUCAACAACAAGACCAUGGCAGAAGCGGUUGGAGACUGGUUCUUUGACAGGAGAGAGGUGAAGGAACUAGAUUGCGAAUAUCCGUGCAACCCAACGUGCCACAACUUGGUUUUUUCCAAGCCCUUCAAGGGAUAA
rnacentral:rRNA from 1 species